rnacentral:sRNA from 12 species
UGACCACUUUCAAAAGCGAUUUGAGAGGUUAAGCCUACGGACAGGCCGGUCAACUGCCGC